GAUGAACGCUAGCGGAAGGCAUAAUACAUGCAAGUCGAACGGAUGUAGCAAUACAUUAGUGGCGCACGGGUGCGUAACGCGUAUGCAACCUACCUUCAUCAGGGGGAUAACUACCCGAAAGGGUGGCUAACACCGCAUAAUACUACUGAAUGGCAUCAUUUGGUAAUUAAAUCUGAGGAGGAUGAAGAUGGGCAUGCGUCUGAUUAGCUAGUUGGUGUGGUAACGGCGCACCAAGGCGACGAUCAGUAGGGGAACUGAGAGGUUGGUCCCCCACACUGGCACUGAGAUACGGGCCAGACUCCUACGGGAGGCAGCAGUAGGGAAUAUUGGUCAAUGGUGGGAACACUGAACCAGCCAUUCCGCGUGCAGGAAGAAGGGUCUCUGACUUGUAAACUGCUUUAGCAAGGGAAGAAAAAGCUCAUGCGUGAGAAAUUGACGGUACCUUGAGAAUAAGCACCGGCUAACUACGUGCCAGCAGCCGCGGUAACAC
rnacentral:rRNA from 1 species